rnacentral:lncRNA from 1 species
UGAGGGGCACAACAGCAGCACUUUGCAGGCGGUGAACUCUGGCAUCCAUAGAGCUGCAGAGCACAGGACAGGGACUGCCAGGUCCCCUGCCCCAGUGACCAACUUUCAUGUAACACCCUGGCCAGGUUUGUUUCUCCCCCACAGACCAGUCUCUGCAGGAAGUCACUUGGUUAUGUUUGCUACAGACAGGCAACCUCAACCUUCUGCUAGCUUAUAAAGAAGAGCACAGUGCUUUCUGCAGACAAGCAUUAGAAAAGCUAAAUGUAUUCUAGUGUUCAGAUUACAUAAGACAACAUUCCAGAAGGUUGUCCUGCCCCUUGACAACCCCCUCAGCCUCCCCUCCCCAGCCAAGGGUUAACAAACCAAAGUGUUUGUCACCAAGGAUCUGCUGAGCUGGCUCCUUUGUCAUAAACUCGCCAGUUCCUGAUUUUGGUUUUCCAACUAAAUAGCCAGAGUAGCACUCACCACUGAAACUGCAUUGAGUGAGCUCAUAACUUUGAAUAUGGCAACACAAAUACCCCAUGUUAGAUAAUGUGAGAGUCACAAGAAUAUUAUAUUUAGUUUAAAGAAGGAUUUUUAAGUAACAAUUGCCACUGUCAGGGAGCAUCAGUAACUGCAGGAAGAACUUGCCCACGACUUCUAUGCAAUGCUAUUCACAGUAUAAACAUGAAUUUCAGUUGGUGCUGUAACACCUUCAGGCACUAGGGAGUAGAUGCCACAAAACGGCCUUGGACUCAUUUGUGUGUUUUUAUUGGUUGAUAGCCGUCGUCUUCAUUGAGAAAAAGUACGAUUUUCUGCUCAUUUUCCUACGUAUCUUCCCCCCCCCUGCUGUAAUAAAGCACUCUCCACUAACAACCUGGUCUCCUGUGAUAAAGCACUCUCCACUAACAACCUGUGUCUACCUUGUUUUGCAUGUCUGCUGUGGACAGGAGAGUUGUGACACAGCAGAGCUAGAGCGACCACAUCACCUGUCCCACGAUUCAGCACCUGCCUGAGCCUUCUACCACAGGCAGGUGUCAGAAACAGAGCUUUUAUCCUGGAGAGGCUCUCCUGAAGAAACCAUGAUGUAAAGUGUACCAGCGACAGAGAAAUCCCAGAUCAAGCUUGGAAAGAGGUUUUCAUAAGUCAAUUAUCAUAAUUACCCCCCUUUACCUUAUUUAGAGUAUGAACUCCCCUAGCAUUAAUUUCCGGUCUUUCCUUCUUCAUUUCAAUUCUUUUCCUGUUGUCAAAUCUUGUUCUUCAUACAGAUAAUUAAAUGUGCUGAGUGCCCUAGAGCUUCUUUUCACCUAAGAAGCCAGUGUUCAGCAGAGGAGUUGAGCAGUCCUCCAGCACAUAGGAAGAAGGUCUGCUCCCACCUACAGCCUCUUUCUCCUGCCCUCAGCCAGUCCCAGCAGGUGCCGAGCUCUUCUGACAGAAAGCUUAACUCACUGCCCCAGGAGAAAUCAAAUCCACCAAAAUCAUGAAUGCUUUUCUGCUGGUUAGCGAUCCAUACUAGCAAUAAAAGGCUUCCUCAAGCACA